AUUGUCGUGGCCGAGUGGUAAAGGCGAUGGACUAGAAGGCCAAAAGGGGGUCUCCCCGCACAGGUUCGAUCCUGUCAACUGCG
rnacentral:tRNA from 2 species